AAUCAACGCUGGCGGCGUGCCUCAGACAUGCAAGUCGAACGAUUAAACUUCCCUUCGGGGAGGAUAUAAAGUGGCGCACGGGUGAGUAACACGUAGGUAAUGUACCUUUGGGUGGGGAAUAACUUAGGGAAACUUAAGCUAAUACCGCAUAAUGCAGCGGCUCCUUCGGGAGACAGGUGUUAAAGAUUUAUCGCCUAAAGAGCAGCCUGCGGCAGAUUAGCUAGUUGGUAAGGUAACGGCUUACCAAGGCUACGAUCUGUAGCCGACCUGAGAGGAUGGUCGGACACACUGACACUGAAACACGGGUCAGACUCCUACGGGAGGCAGCAGUCGGGAAUUUUGGGCAAUGGGCGAAAGCCUGACCCAGCAACGCCGCGUGAAGGAUGAAGUCUUUCGGGAUGUAAACUUCGUAAGAAUAGGAAGAAUAAAUGACUGCACGAAUUGUAAGGUCCGGCUAACUACGUG
rnacentral:rRNA from 1 species